rnacentral:rRNA from 1 species
UCUGGUUGAUCCUACCAGUGAUAUACGCUCGUCUCAAAGGUUAAGCCAUGCAUGUCUAAGUACAAGCUUCCUAGAAAGUGAAACCGCAUAAGGCUCAGUAUAACAGCUAUAAUUUACAAGAUCCUCAUCCAAACAGUUACUUGGAUAACUGUGGAAAGCCAGAGCUAAUACAUGCAUUAUGCCGGGACUGUUGGCCUCCGGUCGGCGGAACUGGUGCACUUAUUAGUUAAACCAAUCGCCUCCGGCGCUUUGAGUUGAAAUCUGGAUAAGGAUGCCGAUCGUACGGUCGCUUGCGACUGACGACAGAUCUUCAAAUGUCUGCCCUAUCAACUAUUGAUGGUAGUGUAGAGGACUACCAUGGUUGCGACGGGUAACGGGAAUCAGGUUCGAUUCCGGAGAGGGAGCCUGAGAAAUGGCUACCACAUCCAAGGAAGGCAGCAGGCGCGUAAAUUACCCAAUCCCGCACGGGAGGUAGUGACGAGAAAUAACAAUAUGGACCUCUUAACGAUGUCCAUAAUUGGAAUGAGUUGAGCAUAAUCCUUUUGCAAGGAUCAAGUGGAGGCAAUCUGGUGCAGCAGCCGCGUAAUUCAGCUCACUAGCGUAUAUUAAAGUUGUUGCGGUUAAACGUUCGAAGUUGAUACCCGUCAGACUCGCGUCCGUCGCGGCGCCGGCUCUCGGUUGGACCGUCCGUGUACGCGCUCGCGCUGCGACUCACAAUGGUGUACCUGGCGUUCUACUCCGUGACGGUCAGGACUUGUCGCCGCGACCUCGUCGGUCAAGGUCUUGUUCGACCAGCUCAUGGUGCCGGAACUCUCGUUUACUUGAACAAAUUAGAGUGCCAAAGCAGGCUAGUUCAAAGCGUCCGUCCUCCGGGCCGGCGUUGGCCGAGUAAUUUUGCAUGGAAUAAUGAACAUGACUCGGUCUGAGUGUUUCGUUGUUUGUAAUAGACAAGAGUAAUGAUUAACAGAAGUAGUCGGGGCAUUGUAUUACGGCGCGAGAGGUGAAAUUCGUAGACCGUCGUAGGACCCAGAAGCGAAGGUUUGCCAAGAUGCUUUCAUUAUCAGAACGAAGUUAGAGGAUCGAAGCGAUUAGAUACCGCCUAGUUCUAACCGUAAACGAUGCAAUUAGCAAUUGGAGACGCUACCUACCUUCGGUGUCUCAGUAGCUUCCGGAACCAAAUCGGGUUCGGGGAAGUAUGUUGCAAAGUUGAACUUAAAGAAUUGACGAAGGGCACCACAAGAAGUGGAGCUUGCGCUUAAUUGACUCAACACGGAAACUUACCAGUCCGAAUUAUUGAGGUAAGACAGAUUGAUAGCUCUUCUCAAACUUAAGGUAGUGUGCAUGCGUUCUUAGUUCGUGGAAUGAUUUGUCUGGUUAAUUCCGAUAACGAACGCGACUCAGUCAAGCUAAUAGAACGCUGUCAGUAGUGUGCCUCGGGCACCUGACGUUAGAGUGGCGGGUGUCCUCACGGUGCCGUCACUUAGUUUGCCCUGCUUAGCGGGACAACUUGUUUUAGCAGAUGAGAUUGAGCGAUAACAGGUCCGUGAUGCCCUUAGAUGUUCUGGCUGCACGCGUGCUACAAUGUGAGCAGCAGCGUGUUCUCGCCUUAUGGCGCCCCAUUCGAGAGGAACGGGAAAUCACCCAAAUGCUCAUUUAGUAGGGAUUGGGACUGCAAUGGUCCCAUGAACUGAAUUUCUAGUAAGUGCUAGUCAUUAGCUAGCGCUGAUUACGUCCUGCCCUUUGUACACACCGCCGUCGCUACUACCGAUGGAUUAUUUAGUGAGGUCUCUGGAGGCACACCUUCCGCGAUUCCUUCGUGAGUUGCAGUUGGCACGGCGAAGUUGACCGAACUUGAUGAUUUAGAGGAAGUAAAAGUCGUAACAAGGUUUCGUAGGUAACUGCGGAAG